rnacentral:rRNA from 1 species
GACGAACGCUGGCGGCGUGCCUAAUACAUGCAAGUAGGACGCAGUUGCGAACGGGUGAGUAACGCGUCUGUAACUACCUAUUAGUGGGUGAUAACUAUUGGAAACGAUAGCUAAUACCGCAUACUAGUAGGUGGACCUUCGUUGUAUUAGCUAGUAGGUCGGGUAAUGGCCUACCUAGGCAACGAGACAUAGCCGACCUGAGGGGGUGGACGGCCAACACGGGAGUGAGAACCGGGCCAGACUCCUUCGGGAGGCCGCAGUAGGGAAUAGUUGGCAAUGGGGGGAAACCUUACCGAGCAACGCCGCGUGAGUGAAGAAGGUUUUCGGAGCGUAAAGCUCUGUUGUUAAGGGAGCGGUACGUAAAGAGAAAGGGACGGCUAACUACGUGCCAGCAGCCGCGGUAAUAC